GCGGGCGUAAUUCAGUGGUAGAAUGCCACCUUCCCAAGGUGGACGUCGAGGGUUCAAGUCCCUUCGCCCGCU
rfam:Candidatus Firestonebacteria bacterium RIFOXYA2_FTLL_40_8 rifoxya2_full_scaffold_6268, whole genome shotgun sequence.